GGCUCAAUGGUCUAGUGGUAUGAUUCGUGCUUCGGGUGAAUCCUUUCUGGUUCUUCCAGAUUUGUAUCCCAUUACCUGUUCAAACAGUGUAACAAGCUUGUGCGAGGUCUCGGGUUCGAAUCCCGAUUGAGCCC